CCUGACACUCACCGAGCCGCCCCAGCGCGGGCGUGGGUGGAACCCGGAGCCGCCUCUCCCCGCUCGGCUCGAGGCAGCGCUGCAGCCGGAGCCCCCGCGGAGGGGACGGACCGAUCUUGGCAGCACCGGGCCGCCGCAGGGAACAGGCUGCAACCACCAGGGAGACCGUGCGGGCGUGCGAAUGACCCGGAUGUACCGGGGGGCAGCAAGCAGCUCCUGGGCCGUGCAGCAGUAAGGCUUACUGGAGAAAUGCAGCACAAUUCAAUACAAACUUCAUCAAACCAAGGGAGCCAGUGGGAACAGGAGCCACAGUGAUGUAUUAAACACAUGCCCGAUCCUACAAGGAUCCUUCAGCAUCUCUUGGGUGGAAAGAUCCUAGAAGGAAAAUCCAUUACGUGCUCCUUACCAAGCAAUGUAAGGAUCUUGUCUAAAGAAACAUACUCUAGACCGUAUCAGCAACGUUUUAAAAGGUGCUUACUGGUCGCGAGCCUGAUCCUGUUUCUACUGGACCCAGCGAACUCGUUGGCAUGCCUGUUUGAGUAACACACCCCAGAGCUGCGAUUACUUCUCUCUCCUGAAACUGGAGAAUCUGCAUAAUAGACAUUUCACUGUUCCCACUGCACAACUACCUACUUGAAAGGCUUCUUGCACCUUCCUCUAUAAAACUUGGUACUGGCCACUCAAAUAGCAGACCAGAUGGACUAUCCGGUCCAAACCAACAUGGUAAUCAAAUCCCAGAUCCCUUCAGAAUUUAUUUCCUCUUAGACCAAAAAAAAUACAGGGUUAGUGAUCCUGCUGUGAUGAAAGCAGAUACCAUUUGAUGUUUCCUAUUCCUAUCAGGCAACUGAUGACAUGGCAAACACAAGCCCUAUUCCUCUUGUCUUUUUAAAAAGGGACUUUAAAAGAAUGAUCCAUUUAUAGAUAACUCAUUUAUUCCCUGGACAAGCUGGGAAUCAGAAUAUGAAGUUCUAACCACAAACCAGGCAAAUCAACUAGCUAUAAUUAUUUUGUUAAUAUCCUCUGUAUUUCACCACCAUUCCUUUUGAAAUGCACUGUAGCUUCUUCCUUAAGAAAGAGAGGUGGCUUUUGCAUACAGAAGUCGUGCUUGCAGCUCACACCCUGCUGCUGUCCCUUCUCAGACAGGGAAGUACAAAGCCUCAAAAGCAGAAGUGCUUUUCUUCUCACAGGCCAGUCCAAUACAUUUUUGGCUCUCAGGCUGAACUUCUAGAUGGGUUAGCCAAUAACAGGUGCAAGAUUUGCAUUAAUAAUAACAAAGAUUGAAAGGUCUCAAACCCGGCAUCUGCUGUAACAUAAGGGGAUAAUCUGCUUUUAUUCAAAGGAAAUUUAUCCAGAUCAGUCAGUAAUAAAAUGGCCCUCCAACAUCAUGUCAGUCACUUCAGUCUGAUACUUGGAGAAUCACAAACAGCCUCCAAGGAGCAUGCACACACCCAUGCAUGCCUGAUGAAACAUUAGCCUGCAACUCCUACUAACUGACAAAUGGCAGUCUUUUGAAUCAUCAAUUAAUAAUGCUGGGCUUCAAACUGGGACUUACUGGAAAUCGCAGUGACUGAAACUAGGAACAUUAUCCACUCACUGGUGUUUCCUUGGGACUGACAUUUGCCGUGAUUAUCUUUAUUUGCAAGGGAAGAACAUGAAUAGUACACAAGAGAUACCAGAGUUCUAACCUUAUUACUUUUCAUCUUCAAUUCACUUUACAAACAUUAACUAGCUGAUCUCCACAACCACAUCUGUCCGGUAGGUAAACAGAAUUAAUCCCAUUUUACAAGUGGGGAAACUGAGGCAGACAAGCCAAGUGACCUUAAGGUCACAGAGGGAGUCACUAUCAAGGUUUAAAAGCAUAACUCAAAUUCCUGCCUCCCAAUCCUAUGCUUAGACCACUAGGACAUCUUCCCCAUAGAAGACUAUGCCUCUUUAAGUCCUAUUUCCACUGAAGGUCCUUUUAGUCCGAUUCUUCUGUCAUGUCCUCUGGUGUAAGUCAGGGUAACUCCACUGACUUCAGUGGAAACACAUUAGUGUAAAACAGGUGUAAGAGGAGAAUCAGGCCCCAGGGAUCUGCAAAUGGAUGGGUCCAGCCACUCCCUUCUUUGUAAUUUACUUCUUUGAGCCAUGAGCAGUCCCCAUCAAAUCCACUCUAGUGCCAAUGGCUGAGCUUUCCAUUCUUUGUACCUUAUUUUAUUGCUUGAUCAACAAGCUAAGGAUUGUGGGCUAUUGAUUUGUAUGGUUAUUUUAAGCCCAAGGCAGGGAGAAGAAAAUCCCUUUAUUGUAAACAAACCUUUUGAUUGAUUAUUUGCGUAUUUAUGAACUUGCUUUUUUGCCAUCUCCAUCGAGUGCAGGCAGCAAGGGCUCAGCAUUUUGUAAAGAAGCUCUACAAAAAAAUCAGUUGAAUUGAAUGCAGCAAACCCCUUUCUUUCCCUAACUCUGCCCCAAUUCCUCUGAGAAGCUCCAAGCCAUUCUUGUCCUGGUCUUCACUUGCCAGUUUUGAGAGUUUCAAACAAACGUGUCUGAGAUCACAUUUCCAAAGAGCUCUGACUGAGGCACCUUUCCUUACUGCUCCAACAAAAAGGAAAUCUACUGGUUUGAUUACUUUGUUUUAUGCAUCAUUUGCCAUAAUCCUACUCAACCUCCUGCACAUCAUCUGCCUUUGCCCCCAGAAAACUCUGGGACUUUUGCAAUGAAAAAUAUAGCUCUCCACAUGGACAUUUCAACAGGUCAUGGUGUCCCCCACUCUAGCUAAGUUAAUGGGCUUUGAAAUCCUCUGCUAAAAAAUGGUGCUGGAAUACGACUGGGUUAAUAAAACUGCAUGAACACCCCAGUGCCGUGGGUAGAUCUGAGCCCAUGUUGCAGCCAGGAACUGUGACUUGCCCAGGCACAGGAAAGCAGCAGCAAAGCCAGGAAUCCCCAAGAGUCCUGAACCCAGGAGCUUCCCUACUCUUCCAACAGAAUAGAGAAAUUCUGAACUCAAGUGCCAAGUGUAAGAGAAAGAUCACCACGCAAGCCCAGGGGCUGCUUGUUUGUCUCUUUUUAAGAGGAGGAGGGAGUCAUGCCAGUGCCAUAAAAAGAAAACCUUUCCACAUCAACCUAACAGCUAGAGAUAAAAGUGUCCUGGGUUUUCCCUGUGUGGAAUUUCCACCACUCUGACAUUUGCAAAACCUCUUCCUUCCCUCCCCACCCCACCCCCAGU